rnacentral:rRNA from 3 species
UACGGAGGGUGCAAGCGUUACUCGGAUUCACUGGGCUUAAAGCGCACGUAGGCGGCAUCGUAAGUCCAUUGUGAAAUCCCCCGGCUCAACCGGGGAAUGGCGAUGGAUACUGCGGAGCUUGAGGACGGUAGGGGAGAGUGGAACUCCUGGUGGAGCGGUGAAAUGCGUAGAUAUCAGGAGGAACACCGGUGGUGAAGACGACUCUCUGGUCCGUUUCUGACGCUGAGGUGCGAAAGCCAGGGGAGCGAACGGG